AUGGAUGACGCGGCUGCCACCCGCCUCCAGUCCUCCUCAUGCUUGCCUCUGGGGUCUGGCUCCAAUGUGAUCGCCAGGACACUCCCGCGAUCUCCUCCUCCGGCAAGCUCCAGUUCUCCCUGUAGACUUCCUAAGCUCGCUUUGGUCCUACCUGAGCAGCCCCUAAUCCUCGACAUCACCCCGACGCCAGCCCGGCCGUGCUCCGCCUCCCACUGCCGUCGACGCAACCGUCGCUUCGGUGCUUCCUCGCCGCGUCCGAGCACGCGUAGAUGCUCUAGUGAUACGCUGGUUACUCUCUCCUCUCCCGAAGCUUCCUCCCCGUACCAUCUAGCUGCCCGCAUAGCGCCACUCCUCAGUCCUCACCUCCGCUGCUGGAAGCCAUCGCCGGCAAAGCUUCGGCCGUCCCGCGUGCCCAUGCUUGCUUUCCCAGCCAUGCGGACACCCAGCUCGCUCGCCAAAAGCGUGCAGCCUCUCCCUACCAGCUCCUGCACCGUCCAGAGCGCCGCCGUCGUGCCCGCUGCCGGAGUUCCUCGCUGCGCCCAACAAAUGUUUGUGUAA
rnacentral:rRNA from 1 species